AGCCACCGAAUUGCAAUGAGCCGAAUUUACACCACUUAGUGAGGACCAAUUGGAGGGCAAGUCUGGUGCCAGCAGCCGCGGUAAUUCCAGCUCCAAUAGCGUAUAUUAAAGUUGUUGCAGUUAAAAAGCUCGUAGUUGGAUUUCUGGCGGGGACCCAAGUACCCCUGGUGGGUGUGCGCGGGCCCGGCCAUCCUUCUGUCAACUUUCGCGCGUCCUUCACCGGUCGGCAAAGGGAUCAGAUAAUUUACCUUGAGAAAAUUAGAGUGUUUCAGGCAGGCUUAGCCGGAAUACAUUAGCAUGGAAUAAUGGAAUAGGACUGAGGUCUCGUUGUUGGUUACGCGGACUCCAGUAAUGAUUAAUAGGGAUAGUUGGGGGCAUUAGUAUUUAAUUGUCAGAGGUGGAAUUCUCAGAUUUGAUAAAGACUAACUUAUGCGAAAGCAUUUGCCAAGGAUGUUUUCAUUAAUCAAGAACGAAAGUUAGGGGAUCAAAGACGAUCAGAUACCGUCCUAGUCUUAACCAUAAACUAUGCCGACUCGGGAUCGGGAGCGUGUGUUAUCCGCUUUCGGCACCGUAUGAGAAAUCAAAGUCUUUGGGUUCUGG
rnacentral:rRNA from 1 species